rnacentral:rRNA from 1 species
CCUACGGGAGGCAGCAGUGAGGAAUAUUGGUCAAUGGCCGGAAGGCUGAACCAGCCAAGCCGCGUGAGGGAGGAAGGCGCAGAGCGUCGCAGACCUCUUUUGCCGGGGGACAAAAGGCCGGACUCGUCCGGUCCUUAGGGUACCCGGAGAAAAAGCAUCGGCUAACUCCGUUCCAGCAGCCGCGGUAAUACGGAGGAUGCGAGCGUUAUCCGGAUUCAUUGUGUUUAAGGGGUGCUCAGGCGGGCCUUUAAGCCGGCGGGGAAAUAGCGGGGCUCAACCCCGCCGCGCCGUCGGAACUGGGGGCCUUGAGUGCGGCGGAGGCAUGCGGAAUGCGCGGGGUAGCGGUGAAAUGCAUAGAUAUCGCGCAGAACCCCGAUUGCGAAGGCAGCGGGCCGUGCCGCCACUGACGCUGAGGCACGAAAGCGCGGGGAUCGAACAGGAUUAGAUACCCCAGUAGUC